rnacentral:lncRNA from 1 species
CAGGACCAGAAUAGUCCCAUUCCCCCUAGAUAGCCAUGGCUUCUCAGCAGUUCUUUAUAGAGUUGAAGUUGGUAUCAAAGCCUCAAAGUUCUCUAUGUGUGACUGGCUGAAUGACGCCCCUCAAAGACUUCCACGUUCUAAUCCCUAGCACCUGGGAAUGUGACUUUACAUGACAAAAGGGGCUUUGCAGGUAUGAUUACAUUAAAGAUCUAAGACAGAGAGAUUAUCCAGGUGGGUUGAAUGCAAUCACAAGGGCCCUGAUAAGAGAGAAGCAUGGGGAUCAGAGUCAAAGAGGAUGUGACAAUAGAAGCAGAGGUCAGAGAGGAGAGAAGAUGCUGUCUCUUUGGAGAUGGAGGACGGGGCCGCAAGCUGAGGACUAGAGGAGGCUUCUAAAAGUCUGGAACUAAGCUGGCAAGAAUUGGGAAGAUGAAGAGAUAUGUGAUAUCAGUCAUCGUUCAUUGGCCUCGGAUCACUUGACUAUCCUGGAGGACUUAAGGGCUCCAGAAAAUUUGCAAAGGAUCUCCUGACUGCAGGGUAAGGGGAGAAUAGCGGGUGCAAUCUACUCUCAGCCCACAGUCCACACUAACUGUUCCGAGGUCAGCAUAUUUUUUUCAGUAGAGAGCCAGCUAGUAAAUAAUCUGGGCUUUGCAGACUAUGUAUACGGUCUCUGUCACAACUACUCAACUCUGCUUCUGAAGUAUGAAAACAGCCAUAGGUCAUAAGUAUACAAAUGGGUUUGGCUAUGUGCCAAUGAAACUUUAUUUACAAAAACAGGAGGCUGACCGGAUUUGGUCCAUCAGCCAUGUUUGCUGACUUUUCCAUAGCCCACCUGAUGGUAGAACAACCUGCUCCUCACGGCAUCUACUCUCUUGUGACUAAUUUGAUAAUUUGGGUCUUUGAUGCAGCCUCAAAGGUCAUAGCUCCUAGAGAUAAGCCUUCAAGUCACCACAAGCUACCUUCAUAGCUGUUCAACCUUCCCUCACUCUCCACACUAUUGAAGGGUCCUCGCCUGCUGAUGUGUCAGCUUCCCUGUUCCUAGCAAAAGCUUUGGAAUGAAAAGAAGCAAACAAAGAUGCCUGAAAAGCCCAGAACCACAACUUCUGAGUUCGUCUUCUGAUGCAGGAAUAUUACAAUUGAGAGGAAAACAGAGAUAUAGAAAUUACCAAGAAAAAUCCAGAGCUAGCCAUUAUAUCAGGAACGAAGAAGCCAGUCACUGUGCUCUGGAGAGACAAAUUGCACAUUUGACAUGCAGUCACUUUGUGUAGGAAACAUUACUUCUGAAGAGAAUGAUACCUGGUGUUCUUUAAAGUACAACAUUGGACAAACAAAAGAAAAUGGAGCUAAAUUAUUAUUGAUCACCCAAGAGUCCCUCUGAGCUUGCAGAAUGACAAAGAUUCUUUUUUGAUUAAACUUUAGUCAGGCUCCUGAACCUUCUCCUGGGCCCAUCUGUGCACUUCCUUGUAAAGUUCAGUUUAGCAAGAUCCCGGCCAAGUCAGUUUAGCAAGAACUCCCCACCCUCAUUAUCUCGUCUAUAUUUGAUCAAGAUCUUCCACCUCCACCAUUCCACAGAUAUAGUCUGAUCACCCUGGCCUGUCUUCAGUAAGAAACCCGUUAGGUCAGCUUAGCCAGAAUUCCCCUUAUCCUUGAUGUUUAUUCCUUGUAAUUUUCCAUCAACUGACCCCCACCAUGCUCCUGGGCUAGAAAUUCCCACUUGUCCAGGUUGUAUUCAGAGUUCAGCCCAAUCUCUCUCCCACACUGCAAAAUCCCAUUGCAGUAGUCCCUAUGCCUGUCGAGAUGAUCCUGAAGAAAGUCUUUCUUACCAGGUUUUAGCAGUGAUAGCAAAUAUCAUUAAAUAACUUUUCUUCUUUUUAAAUAUGUUUUUGAGACAGGGUUUUGCUUUGUCACCCAGGCUGGAGUGCAGUAAGUGUAAGUGUAAUCAUGGCUCACUGCAGCCUCGAACUCUCAGGUCCAAGCGAUGCACCCACCUCAGCCUCUGAGUAGCUAGGACUACAAUUGUGUGCCAUCAUGGCCAGCUGGUUUUAUCAUUUUUAUUUUUUUUUUUGAGAUAGGGUCUCUCUUUGUUGCCCAGACUGGUCUCGAACUCCUGGGCUCAAGUUCAACUCCUAAGGCCUCCUGCCUUAACUUCUCAAAGUGUUGGGAUUACAGGCAUGAGCCAUGCCUGGCCCAACUUUUGUUCCUUAAUAAGAGUAUAUAUAUAUAUAUAUACACUUAAUAUAUAAUAUAUACUUAAUAAGAGUAUAUAUUAUAUAUAUAUAUAUAAUUGACUGGAUGGAAUAUCACCCACUGAGGACCAGGGUUGAUCCUGCUAACUGGCUGGCUGGCUGUGCCUCCUUUCCCUCAUUACCCAAAGUGCUCCUCUCUCCAAACCACACCUGGGAAGAAAAUCAAUGUGAUUUUGUCAGCAUCCGGUGUUGCUGAUACCCCCUAGCUGCCCCCACGGUGGGAGGCACCAGAAUCCACAGUAUUCAGCGCCCCUUUCAUGGAGGAUGGCACAUCCUUGAGGAGAAUCUCGGGCUUGUCUUUGUCAAUGAGAUAUGAGUGUUCUGGAUAGAAGCUUUAAGAACCAGCACCUGCUCCUUUCCCAUCUUGAUGAUGGAAACAGGGAGACCUGGGUCACCUGAGUUCUUGGAUCGUGAAGAUGAGCAGAACCUGUGGUGCGAGGAAGACAUGCCUUUACCUGUUAGCCACUGAGAUUUUUCAAGUCAUUUUCACAACCUCGCCCUGUGAAAAUCUAUCCUUUCUAAUGCCUCACCAAUCACAACGGGAAAUGUGGAUGACUGUCUCUGUGGAUUCCGUGGACUGGUAAUGAUGACCAGUGAUAUUGAGCUCAGUUGGUGUCAAUAACUAUUAGUGACCCACUGAUUCAACCAAAAGAGGAGCUGGAGUGUCUGAGAUCUGCUCAGCUGGCAAUCCCACCGAUCAGCGUCUUAAGCCCAGACCUGGAAAUGGAGCAGUGGAUUUUAUGGGAAACAAACACUAAUAAGGUUUGAUAUAUAUAUCUCUUAUUUGAUAAUACAAUAAGGAAAUUCAGAUGCAAGAUAAACUGGGGCAGAAUGUGUCGAAAAUGAAGUAUUCUGUGCGUUAGCAGCUAGAAGGUCUACAGGAGUUAUAGGGUAGGACUGAGACAUUGAAACUGCUUCUCCAAUCUGGUGUUAGUGAGCUUUACGUGUGUCUGUGUGUGUGUGUCUUCAUAUGUAUUGUACUUUGGAGGGUAAACUUUUUAUUGAGGCAUAGAAUACACCCAGAAAUGCAUACAAACCAUAAGGAUUCACAAAUGCUACAAAUCAUAAGGAUAUGGCUCAAGGAGUUUUCACAAACUGAACACACCUUGCAACCAGAAGAAACACAGCAUUACCAGCACCAGAGGAUCCCCUGACAUCUCCUUUCCCCUGCUUGACAGUAACUACUGACUUCUAAAGCAGAUGACCUCUGCCUGCUAUGUCUGGUUUCCUUUCCUCACUGUUGUGUGUGGCAUUCAUCUGUGUUGCAUGUAGUUGUAGCUCAUUCGUUAUCACAGCUGCAUAGCAUUCGAUGUGUGAAUAUACACUGCAAUUUUUUUAUCCAUUCUGCUGCGGAUGGGCUUUUAAGUAGUUUCCAGUUUGGGUCUAUACAAACAGUGCCACUAUGAACAUUUUUACGCAUGUCUUUUGUGAACAUACUUGUUUGAUUCUGUUGGCUCUAAACCCUGGGCCACAGCCAUAUGGUGUGUUCAGCAGUGUAAGAAGGUUUCAUUGGUUCCACGUCCAUACUUUUCAUCGUUGGCACUUUAGCCAUCCUAAUGACUGUGUGGUGAUACCUUCCUGUGGUCUUAAUCACAUUUGUCUGUUGCCUCGUGGGCGUAUUUCUUUCUUCACUUUAAGUUCUGGGAUACAUGUGCAGAACGUGCAGGUUUGUUACAUAGGUAUACAUGUGCCGUGGUGGUUUGCUGCACCUAUCAAUCCAACAGCUAGGUUUUAAGCCCUGCAUGCAUUAGGUAUUUGUCCUAAUGCUCUCCCUCCCCUUGCCUCCCACCUGCCGACAGGCCCCGGUGUGUGAUGUUCUCCUCCCUGUGUCCAUUUGUUCUCAUUGUUCAAAUCUCACUUUUAAGUGAGAACAUGCUGUGUUUGGUUUUCUGCUCCUGUGUUAGUUUGCUGAGGAUGAUGGCUUACAGCUUCAUCCAUGUCCCAGCAAAGGACAUGAGUUCAUUCUUUUUUAUGGUUACAUAGUAUUCCAAGGUGUAUAUGUGCCACGUUUUCUUUAUCCAGUCUAUCAUUGAUGGGCAUAUGGGUUGGCUCCAAGUCUUUACUAUCGUUAAUAGUGCUCCAAUAAAU